rnacentral:rRNA from 1 species
ACGAACGCUGGCGGCGUGCUUAACACAUGCAAGUCGAACGGAAAGGCCCUGCUUUUGUGGGGUGCUCGAGUGGCGAACGGGUGAGUAACACGUGAGUAACCUGCCCUUGACUUUGGGAUAACUUCAGGAAACUGGGGCUAAUACCGGAUAGGAGCUCCUGCUGCAUGGUGGGGGUUGGAAAGUUUCGGCGGUUGGGGAUGGACUCGCGGCUUAUCAGCUUGUUGGUGGGGUAGUGGCUUACCAAGGCUUUGACGGGUAGCCGGCCUGAGAGGGUGACCGGCCGCAUUGGGACUGAGAUACGGCCCAGACUCCUACGGGAGGCAGCAGUGGGGAAUAUUGCACAAUGGGCGGAAGCCUGAUGCAGCAACGCCGCGUGCGGGAUGACGGCCUUCGGGUUGUAAACCGCUUUCGCCUGUGACGAAGCGUGAGUGACGGUAAUGGGUAAAGAAGCACCGGCUAACUACGU